CCUACGGGAGGCAGCAGUGGGGAAUAUUGGUCAAUGGGCGCAAGUCUGAACCAGCCAAGUCGCGUGAAGGAUGAAUGCUCUCUGGGUUGUAAACUUCUUUUAUAUGGGAGUAAAAAGUUACACGUCUUGGCUUUUAUAUGUACCCUAAGAAUAAGCCUCGGGUAACUCCGUGCCAGCAGCCGCGGUAAUACGGAGGAUUCGGGCGUUAUCCGGAUUUAUUGGGUUUAAAGGGAGCUUAGGUGGAGUGGUAAGUCAGUUGUCAAAGUUUGCGGCUCAACCGGAAAAUUGCAGUUGAACCUGGCAGUCGUGAGUAGAGUAGAGGUGGGCGGAA
rnacentral:rRNA from 1 species